rnacentral:rRNA from 1 species
AUUGAACGCUGGCGGCAUGCUUUACACAUGCAAGUCGAACGGCAGCACGGGUGCUUGCACCUGGUGGCGAGUGGCGAACGGGUGAGUAAUGCAUCGGAACGUGCCCAUGAGUGGGGGAUAGCCCGGCGAAAGCCGGAUUAAUACCGCAUACGCCCUUAGGGGGAAAGCGGGGGAUCUUCGGACCUCGCGCUAUUGGAGCGGCCGAUGUCGGAUUAGCUAGUAGGUGAGGUAAAGGCUCACCUAGGCGACGAUCCGUAGCUGGUCUGAGAGGAUGAUCAGCCACACUGGGACUGAGACACGGCCCAGACUCCUACGGGAGGCAGCAGUGGGGAAUUUUGGACAAUGGGCGCAAGCCUGAUCCAGCCAUGCCGCGUGAGUGAAGAAGGCCUUCGGUUGUAAAGCGUCUUUCUAGGUGGAAAGGAAAGUAAGACGCCGUUAG